UACGUAGGUGGCAAGCGUUGUCCGGAUUUACUGGGCGUAAAGAGCGCGCAGGCGGCCGAGUAAGUCGAAUGUGAAAGCCCCCGGCUCAACUGGGGAAGGUCAUUCGAUACUGUUCGGCUUGAAGAUAGGAGAGGGAAGCGGAAUUUCAGGUGUAGUGGUGAAAUGCGUAGAUAUCUGAAGGAACACCAGUGGCGAAGGCGGCUUUCUGGGCUGUAACUGACGCUGAGGCACGAAAGUGUGGGGAUCAAACAGG
rnacentral:rRNA from 1 species